AAUGACGGUUUCAACGAGUUUGGGAUCCCAGACCGAAAGGGUUGGGUAAACUGAACCAUAACCGUCGUGACUGGGAUCGGGGCUUGCAAUUGUUCCCCGUGAAC
rnacentral:ncRNA from 1 species